rfam:Oryza barthii chromosome 3, whole genome shotgun sequence.
UUUAAGUGCAGCUGUAUGUUUUCGUGUCUAACAUUUGACUGUCUGUCUUAUUUGAUUUUUUUUUUAUGAUUAGUACUUUUAUUGUUAUUAGAUGAUAAAACUUGAAUAAUACUUUAUGUGUGACUUAACUUUUUUUUAAAAAAAUCAUAAACUUUUCAAUAAAAUAGAUGGUCAAACAUUAUACACGAAAAGCCACAACUACACUUAAA